rnacentral:lncRNA from 10 species
CACAAUUGAUAGACCACUAGCUAGUUUAACAAGAAAAAAAGAUCCAAAUAAGUACAAUCAGAAAUGACAAAGAUGACAUUACAAUUGAUCCCACAGAAAUACAAAAGACCCUUUAAAAGGUCUAUAAAAGACCUUAUUAACAGCUCAAUAUGCACAAAUUAGAAAAUCUAGAGGAAAAGGGUAAAUUCCUGAAAACACAUAAUCCCCCAAGAUUGAAUCAGAGACAUUGAAACCCUGAAUAGACCAAUAUAGAGUCAUGAAAUGAAACAGUAACAAAAACCCUUAUAAUUCAAUAAAAACUCUGGACCAGAUUGAUUCACAUCCAAAUUCUACCAGACAUAUAAAGAAGAGCUAAUAACAAUGUUACUGAAACUAUUCCAAAAAUUGAAGAGGGAGACUCCUCUCUCACUCAUUCUAUAAAGCCAGCAUGAGCCUGAUACCAAAAUCUGGCAGAGACACAACAUAAAACAAACAAACAAACAAACAAAUUCAGGCCAAUAACCCCAAUAAACAUAGAUGCAAAAAAUCCUCAAAACAAUACUAGCAAACUAUUCUCAGCAGCACAUCAAAAAGUUAAUUCACCGUGAUCAAAUAGGCUUUAUUUCUGGGAUGCAAGCUUGGUUUGACUUAUGCAAAUCAAUAAAUAUGAUUCAUCACGUAAACAGAAUAAAAACAAAAACCAUACAAUCAUAUCCAUAGACAUAAAAAAAGCUUUCAAUAAAAUCUGACAUCCCUUCAUAAUCAUAAUCCUGAACAGACUAAGCAUUGAAGAAACAUAUCUCUAAAUAUGAAAAUUCAUUCAUGGCAAACCCACAGCCAACAUCGUACUGAAUGGACAAAAGCUGGAAAUGGUUCCCUUGAGAACUGGAAGAACCCAAGGAUGUCCAAUUUCACCUCCUAUUCAACAUAGUACUGGAAUUCCUAUACAGAGCAGUCACGCAAGAUAAAAAAAUAAAAGGCAUCUAAAUAAAAGAAGUCAAGCUAUCUCUCUUUGCUGACAAUAUUAUUUCACUUAGAAAACCCUAAAGACUCUGUGAAAUGGCUCCUAGAACUGAUAAAUUCACUGAAGUUUCAGGAUACAAAGUCGAUGUACAAAACUUAGUAGUAUUCAUACAUCCCAACAGCAUCCUAGGUGAGAGUCAAAUCAAAAACACAAUCCCAUUUUCAAUAGCUACAAAGAAAAUGAAUUACCUAGGAAUACAGCUAAACAAGAAGGUGAAGGAUUUCUACAAGGUAAUCUACAAAACACUGCUGAAAGAAAUCAGAGAUGACACAAAUGAGAAAACAUUCUGUGUUCAUGGAUUGGAAGAAUCAAUAUCAUAAAAAUAGCUAUACUGUCCAAAGCAAUUUACAGAUUCAACAAUAGCCUUAUCAAACUAUCAAUGUCAUUCUUAACAGAGCUAAACAAAAACUCUAAUAUUCAUGUGGAAAAAAGAGCACAAAUAGCCAAAGCAAUCCUGAGCUUAAAAAACAAAGCUGGAGGUGUCACACUACCCAACUUCAAACUAUACCAUAAAGCUAUAGUAACCAAAACAGCAUUGUGCUACUACAAAAAACAGACACAUAGACUAAUAGAACAGAACAGAAAUCUCAGAAAUAAAGCUCCACACCUACAACUAUCUGAUCUUCAGCAAGGCUGACCAAAACAAGCAACAGGGAAAGGACUCCCUAUUCUAUAAAUGGUACUGGGAUAACUGACUAGCAAAGAUUAAAACUGAACCCUUACUUUUCACCAUAUAUAAAAAUUAACUCAAGAAGGAUUAAAGAUUUAAAUUUAAUACCUAAAACUAUAAAAAUCCUGGAAGUAAACCUAGGAAGUACCCUUAUUGACAUCAGCCUUGACAAAUAAUUUUUGAUCGAGUUCCCAAAAGCAAUUUAAACAAAAACACAAAUUGACAAGUGGGACAUAAUUAAACUAAAGAGCUUCUGCAUAGCAAAAGAAACUAUCAACAGAGUAAACAGACAUCCUACACAAUGAGAGAAAAUAUUCACAAUCUAUGCAUCUCACAAUGGUCUAAUAUCCAGAAUCUAUAAAGAACUUAAAUAAGCAAGCAAGAUCAAAUAACCCAAUUAAAAAUGGGCAAAGAACACGAACAGAUAAUUCUCAAAAGAAUACAUACAAGUGGCCAACAAACAAAAAAUGAUCAUCAUCACUAAUCAUCAGAGAAAUGCAAAUUAAAACCACAAUGAGAUAUGAUUCUGACACCAGUCAGAACGGGUGUUAUUAAAAAGUCAUUAAAAAAACAGAUGCGGCCAGUUCUGGUGUCUCACGCCUGUAAUCCCAGCACUUGGAGAGCCCGAGGCGGGUGGAUCACCAGGUCAGGAGAUCGAGACCAUCCUGGCUAACACGGUGAAACCCCGUCUCUACCAAAAAAUACAAAAAAUUAGUCUGGUGUGGUGGCAGGCGCCUGUAGUCCCAGCUACUUGGGAGGCUGAGGCAGAAGAAUGGCGUGAACCCAGGAGGUGGAGCUUGCAGUGAGCCGAGAUGGCGCUACUGCACUCCAGCCUGGGCAACAGAGCGAGGUUCUGUCUCAGAAAAAAAAAAAAAAAAUGCUGAUGAGGGUGCUGAGAAAAGGGAAUGCUUAUACGCUGUUGAUAGGAAUAAUAAAUUAGUUCAGCCACUGUGGGAAGCAGCUUGGAGAUUUCUUAAAGAAGUUAAAACAGAGCUACCAUUUCACCCAGUGAUAUAAUUACUGGGUGUAUACUCCAAGGAAAAUAAAUCAUUCUGCCUAGAAGACAUAUGUAGUUGUAUGUUCAUCGCUGUGCUAUUCACAAUAGCAGAGAAAUGGAAUCAACCUAGGUGCCUAUCAGUGGUGGAUUGGAUAAAGAAAAUGUGGUACAUAUACAUCGUGGAAUACUACGCAGCCAUAAAAAAUAAUUCAAUUAUGUCCUUUUCAGCAAUAUGGAUGCCGCUGGAAACUGUUAUUCUAAGCAAAUCAACAUAGAAACAGAAAAGCAAAUACUGCAUGUUCUCACUUAUAAGUUGAAACUGUAUGUUGAGCACUCAUGGAUAUAAAAAUGGGAACAGUAGACAUUGUGCACUACCUGAAGGGAGAAGAAGUCUGUGGGGCAUGAGGUGAAAAAGUACCUACUGGCUACUAUGCUCACUACCUGGGUGAUGUGAUUAUCUGUAUCCCAAACCUUAGCAUCAUGCAAUAUACCCAUGUAACAAACAUGCACAUGUACCCCCAGUAUCUAAAAUAUAAGUUGACUUGUUUUAAAAAAAGAAAAUGUCCAUUUUGAUGUGUUCUAUGUGCACUUGAAAAGAAUUUACAUUAACAAUAUUCUAUAUAUGCCAAUUAUGUCAAAUUAAUCAUAUCAUUCAUCUUUUAUUUACCCAUACUAACCUGCUUGAUCAGAGGGUUUUGUUGAAAUCUUCAAUACUAUUCUAAUUUUUGUCCAUCUCUAUUUUAAUUUCUGUCAAUGUUUUCUUUAUAUAUUUAUUAGUUAUGUUGAAUGUAUAACAAGUUUGGAUUUUUAUAUAUUCUUUCAAAAAGACAAUUUUAUCAUUAUAAAUGUCCCUAUUUAUCUCUGCAGUAAGUGUAAUUCUAAAAUGGCCCCUAAGUUUCUUGCUCCCUUGCAUACAUGCCCUGUAUAAUCCCCUCCAUUAUUAAAAAUAAUUGCAGAAGAUUUGAACAUAUGUAUUAAUCUCUGUAGGAUUUAACUUUCAAGUUCCAACUUACUUGUUCUUAACCUCCACUCAUUCUCUUUUCAGCCCAGUAAGACCAUUGCCUUGUGCUUAGGUUUUAUUCCUUUAUAUCAUGACUUAAAACACUUAAGAGAAUAAGCCAAAGUAAAUUUACAGCUCUCAUUACAUGCUUUCCUUUUCUCAAAGAUCAUAGCUCCUAAGUCAUGCCUAUGUUGGUUUUUAAUGCCUUCAAAGUAUAAUUUCACGUAUUUUUUUCUAGCUCUUAUGAUUUUUUUCAGUGCUAAUUUAUCUAAUACUCUGACAUACCCUCAGAUGAAAACUGUUAAUGUGUUUCUGUCCCCAUUUUUAGAUGAGAAAACUGAGGGUCAGAGAAUUUAACUGAUUAACUCAAAGUUUCCCUGAUAGUGAUGGAAUAAAAUUAGAUGUUAUUUCCCAAUAUACCACGUUGCCUUUCUUUUUAUUGUUGUUAUUCUUAGAUGUCAGUACCAUUCUGAAGUUUUUACAUGUUUUGAUAUAAUUUGUUACUUUUUCUUUUUUUGCUUAUUGCUCAUGACAAUUUAAGGAUUUGACUAUGACCUUAGGAUAAUCCAAAAUGCCUAUGUGCUGUGGCCCAUAGGUUAAUAUCAAACACAUUGUACUGAAAGCAAGGAGCCAAAAUGUUCUCUGAGAAGCUUGUCUUUAAAGGGAUGGCAAAAUUUUGUUUUCAGGAAUCAUACUUUAGAGUAUUUUAUUUCCUUUAACUACGCAUGUGCCUCUCAAAUUUUAAGCUGCUUUGAGGUAUGCUGUUGUUUAAUUUGAGCAUUAUCAUAGUAUUUGGCCUGUGGUGAAGAAAUAUAUAAUUAUCUGAACAGCAGAAUUUAACAUUCAUUGGUAUUAGUUGCCCUUGUUGAACUAAUACAAACAUUUAUUGAGCACAUACUUUAGGUACUCUGGGGGAUACAAAGAUAAAUCUGACAUGAUCCCUCUCUCAAGAAAUUUAAAGUUCAGAAUACAAAUAGCUCUACUGGAAAGAAAAUACGAUUCAUGACAUGAGUUAGGUACAAAGCAUACGGGAAUUCUGAAAAAGAGAUCAUAUGAGGUUGAAAUUUUCAGGCAGAGUUUCAAAAAAGAGAAGAAAUUUGAUAUGGGCCUGGAAGAAUAAAUCGUACAUAUAGGUUAUGGCUCAUUCCCAGUCGAAAACAUUUUAGAUUAUACAUAUCUUGAGAACCACAGAGUCAGUUACUUACAUGGUGAUGAGGGAGAAAUCUAUUAAUCAACAGAUUAAUAUUAAUUCAGAAAAUAUGUUGAUUUAAAUUUAAACUCACAACUCAACUUAGAGAUACCGUGAACCACCCAGGUAUGACGCACUUUUCAAAUUAAUUAUAGCUCCUAUUUAGAAAGAGGGUUAUCAAUUAGUGCCAGGUACUAUUACAGGUGCUUUUCUCAUACUACCUUGCUUAAGCCACUCAACAAUCCUAUAAGGUAGUAAUUGUUCUCAUUUUACUAAUAAAGUCACUAUGACACAGUCACAUUGAGUAAAACGUGGCUAAGGAAACAUUGCUAUUAAUAAGCUGCUGCUGAGAUUUAAGCCCAGGUUUGACUGAUUAUAGAAUCUGAGAUCUUAACCAAUCUGCUAUGCUGUUACUCUAAGGGUAGAGACGGAGGUGUUGAUUACCCUCUGACUUAUAUCUAAUUUCUUGUCUUCUUCCUAGACUCUUUUCUUCCCUGACAUGCACUGGUACGUCAUGACAGUUUUGGAUUUACUUUUUUCUUCACUUUGAAAACUUUGUAAAAAGAACUUCCUGUGGCUUGAAUUUUAUUUCCCAGUCAGAUAUGCCUGCUUGCUUUAUUACUUGCAUGACAUCGCAACCUUUCUAUGCCUCUUGGUUAUGAUCAUACCCUGUCAGUGCUCAAGAGCAGACUGGGAUCCAAAUUUCCAUCAAGACUUACAAAAGGGUAUCUCUAAGCCCUUAAGUCAAUAGUUUUACCAUUUCUGGCAAUUGCCCGAGGCAAAUUGGAGCCUUUCACUAGCCAGCAUUUGUUUGUACUAGUUUCUGGUGCUCUGCUACAUUUAAUAGCAACUAGUUUCCCAGCUUACUUGGGACAGAAUUCACUAUGUUUGGGCCAAACGAAAUGCGGUUAAAUGAUGUUUUUCUUUGACUUUCUAAUUUAUAACUUCGAGAAACAGAUUCAGUCAUAGAUGGCAGGAUACAUGCUUGAGAUACUGACUUAUGCCAAACAGGGCCUAUCCUAACUGCCAAUUAAGAUGAUGGUGGCAGUGGUGGUGGGAGAGAGGAUGGGGGAGAAAAGAUGGUGGUGGUGGUAGUGGUGGUGGUAGGGUUGUAAGGGUGAUACAAGAACAACAACAAAAAAACCCCACCAUUCUUUGUACAACACAAUCUCCCUUUAAUUAUCAGAUUGUCUUACAAUUAUUUGAAAUUCAUCAGCUUUAAUUUACAUACAAGAUGAGGCCACUAUAGUGCAGUACAUUGAAAUCAGAAACAAAUUGCAUGUGUGAAGUUAAACAGCACAUUUAGCUUUUUAGAGAGACAAUUUGAGGAGAUUUCUAGGUUGUUCAUAUGUGACUCAAUUUAUGAAUAAUUGACAACUCUCAAUAAUAAUCAUUAUUAUAUCCAGUUAACUUCAUACAAGAGUAGCUUCUUUGACCCUCUCUCUAGACUAGCCUGACAUUAACAGUUCUGUGACAUUGUUGUUACACUUGGUGAAACUGCUGAUUAAAUUUCUGUCCCUUCCCUGAUAAGAUGAAGACAAUCUAGCAUUGUACAUGAAGGACCUGUAUGGUCCUGACUUGUUUCAUCUUCUUGCCAUUAGGGUGUGCCAUUCUUUUCCUGGAGUGGUGAGCACCUUAACCUUUACUCUGACCUAUCUUAGAAAUCAUCUUGUUCCUUCUCAUUGUGCUUAGGGAUGGCAGGAAGUAGCAUUAAAACUUCCUAUUUUUUUCUCAUACUGCUGUGUUGGUACUUUUUUUUGUAAAGUAUCAUUUGAUUACAGGAAAAAAAGAUCUUGUCUUUAACUCUACUUUGCAUCUGGGAAAUUAAGUUGGCAUCUGGACUAAGUAAUGCUUACUGAAUAAAUUAGCAAAGUAUAUAAUACCAAUGUUAGAUGUCACUCAAUUAAACUUCAUACCAUUAGAUAUCGGAAAAGCAUGACCUAACAAUUUUCUGUUGGGAUACAAAGGUGUACAUAUUCAUUCAAAAAACAUUUAUUGAGUAGAUUCUAUGUACCAGGUUCUAUAUUGGACACCAGUGACACAAUGAAUAAUCGAACUUGUUCACUGCUUUUUAUGUCCAGGAAUCAAAAAAUGGCAUGAACCAACUGUUAUAUAUACAUCAUGGUAGGCUCAACAAAAAAUAAUUUUUCAACCGAAUGUCGAUCUAGUGGACCCAGUCACCAACUUACAUGCAAUCUUGUAUUAAUGGACACUGCAGAUAGACAUAUUCCCCAUCAGACCCUAUGUGGGGUAUCAUAUCAGGUGGCUGACACUGCCCAUUAAACAAUGUUUGAUUUCUCCAUGUUUCUCAAAGAGAGAGACACAUGAUUCCAUUAUCACCCAAGGAAGCCACAUUCUUAAUUUAUUCUAUUAUUAUGGGGGGUAUCCAUCACCUUAAGCAUGUAGUCUUUGUGUUACAAACAAUCCAAUUAUGUACUCUUAGUUAUUUUAAAAUGUACAAUUAAGUCAUUAUUGAAUACAGUCACCCUGUUGUGCUAUCAAAUACUAGAAUUUAUUCUUUCUAACUAUGAUUUUGUACCCAUUAACCAUGUCCACUUUCCCCCGCACCCCCACACAAUUCUUCACAGUCACUGGUAACCAUGCUUCUUCUUUCUUCAUGAAUUCAAUUGCUUUAAUUUUUAGCUUCCACAAAUAAGUGAGAACAUGCAAAGUUUGUCUUUCUGUGCCUGGCUUAUUUAAAUUAACAUAAUGACCUCCAGUUCCAUGAUGUUGUUGCAAAUGACAGGAUCUCAUUUCUUUUUUUAUGGCUGAACCAUACUCCAUUGUGUAUAUGUGCCCCAAUUUUAUUUAUCCAUUCAUCUGUUGACAGACAUUGGAGUGCUUCUAAAUCUUGGCUAUUAGGAAUAAUUCUGCCAUAAACAUGGGAGUGCAGCUAUCUCAUUGAUAUAUAGAUUUCCUUUCUUUUGAGUAUAUACCUAACAGGUGGAUUGCUGGAUUGUAUGGUAACCAUAUUUUUAAUUUUUUGAGUAAUCUCCAAACUGUUCUCCAUAGUGGUUAGAUUAAUUUACAUCCCCACCAAAAGUGUACAGGGUGUCUUUUACUCCACAUCCUUGCCAGAGUUUGUUAUUGCCUGACCUUUGGAUAUAGGCCAUUUCAACUGGGGCGAGAAGAUAUCUCUUAGUUUCAGUUUGCAUUUGUCUGAUGAUCAAUAACAUUGAGCACUUUUUCACAUACCUUUUUGCCAUUUAUAUGUCUCUUUUUGAGACAUGUCUAUUCAGAUCUUUUCCCUAUUUUAAAUUAGAUUAUUUGAUUUUUUUCCUAAAGAGUUGUUUGAGCUCCUUAUAUAUUUUGGUUAUUAUCUCUUCUCAGAUGGAUAGUUGCAAAUAUUUUCUCCCAUUCUGCUGGUUGUCUCUUCACUUUCCUUUGUUGUGCAGAAGAUUUUUAACUUGAUAUGAUCCCAUUUGUCCAUUUUUGCUUAGCUUGCCUGCGCCUGGGGUAGUACUCAAUAAACCUUUGUCCAGUCCAUUGUCAUGGAGAGUGUCCUAAUCUAUUUUAAUAGUUUGAGGUGUUAGAUUUAAGUCUUUAAUUCAUUUUAACUUUAGUUUUGAAUAUGAAAAGACAGUGGGGUCUAGUUUUAUUCUUUUGUAUAUGGAUAUCCAGUUUUCCCAGCACCAUUUAUUGAACAGACUGUCUUUUCCCCAAUGUAUGUUCUUGGCACCUUGUCAAAAGUGAGUUUACUGUAGAUGAAUAGAUUUAUCUCUGGGUUCUCUAUUCUGUUUCAUUGAUCCAUGUGCCUGUUUUUAUUCCAGUUCCAUGUUAUUUUGGUUACUAUAUCUCUGUAGUAUAAUAUGAAGUCAGGUAGUGUGAUUCCUCCAGUUUUGUUCUUUUUGCUCACAAUAGCUUUGGCUAUUCUGGGUCUUCUGUGGUUCCAUAAAAAAUUUAGAAUUUUUUUUACAUCUGUGAAAAAUGUCAUUCAUAUUUUGGUGGGGAUUACAUUUAAUGUGUAGAUUGCUUUGGGUAGGAUGGACAUUUUAACAAUACUUAUUCUUCCAAUCCAUGAACAUGGAAAAUCCUUUUAUUGUGUUUGUAGCCUGUUCAAUUACUUUCACCAAUGUUUUACAGUUUUUAUUGCAGAAAUGUUUCCCUUCUUUGGCUAAUUUAUUUUCUAGGUUUUGAAUUUUAUUUGUAGCUAUUGUAAGUGAGAUUACUUUUUCAUUUAUUUUUCAAAUUUUUUGCUGUUGGUGUAUAGAAACAAUACUGAUUUUUGCAUGUAGAUUAUGUGCCCUGCAACUUUACUUAUUUAUCAGUUCUAACAGUUUUUUUGGGAGUCUUCAGGUUUUCACAAACAUAAGAUCACAUCAUCCUCAAACAAGGAUAAUUUGAGUUUUUCCUUUCCAAUGCGGAUGCCCUUUAUUUCUUUCUCUUGUCUGAAUGUUCUAACUAGGACUUCCAGUACUAUGUUGAAUCAGUGGUGAAAGUGGGCAUCUUUGUCUUGUUGCAGAUCUUAGAGAAAAGACUUUCGGCUGUUUUCCAUUCAGUAUGAUACUAGUUUUCGGCCUGUUGUAUAUGGCUUUUAUUAUUUUUAGGUUAUGUUUCUUCUAUAUCCACUUUUUGAAGGUUUUUAUCAUGAAGUGAUGUUGAAUUUUAUCAAAAGCUUUUUUAGCAUCAGUUGAAACGAUCACAUGUUUUUUCCCUUCAUUUUGUUGAUAUAAUGUAUCACACUGAUUGAUGUGCUUAUGUUCAGCCAUCCUUGCAUCCCUGGCAUAAAUCCCACUUGGUCAUGAUAAAUAAUCUUUUUACUUUGUUGAUAAAUAUCCUUUGUUAGUAUUUUGUUGAGGAUUAUUGCAUCAAUACUCAUCACAGAUAUCAGCCUAUCAUUUUCUUUUUCUGAUGUGUCUUUGUCUAGUUCUGUUGUCAGUGUAAUAUUUACCUCAUAGAAUGAGUUUGGAAAUAUUCUUUUCUCCUUUAUUCUUCAGAAUAGUUUGAGUGGGAUUGGUGUUAGUUCUUCCUGAAUGUUUGUAAAAUUCAUCAGUGAAGCCAUCCAGUCCCAAGAGUUUUGAAGGGUGAGAUAACAGAAAGAUAUCCUGUUGCACUCAGUAGGGCUGGUGUGUUUAUCUACCUUUAUGCCUUUUGGAUUUUAUUAUGUCUGGGCGAUUUUCCAAUAUGUUAUAAACAUGAUGUUUUAGGACUCUCCUUGAUUGAACUAUGAUCAUAUAUCUGGACAAUGUUUUAGUUUACUUAUGACAGUAUUGUCCAGAUGGUCCUGGACUGUCUCCAAUAGAAUCAGCUUUGUGCUUAAAAUGUAGAAGUAUGAGCUUUAUGAAGUCCAAGUCAAGUUUAUGAUUUCCCUAAUAUCCUCACAAGGAAUUGGGAUGAACUUCUAGAGAGUCAGAUCACUACUGAUUAAAGGACAUGAACAGACGCUUUUCAAAAGAACAUAUACAAACAGCCAACAAGCGUAUGGAAAAAAGCUUGAUAUCACUCAUCAUUAGAGAAAUGCAAAUCAAAGACACAAUGAUAUACCAUCUCACACAAGUAAGAAUGGCUCUUAUUAAAAAGUCAAAAAGUAACACACUUACACACUGUUGGUGUGAGUGUAAAUUAGUUAACUCAUUGUGGAAAUCAGUGUGACAAUUCUCAAAGAGCUAAAAACAGAACUACCAUUCGACCCAGCAAUCCCAUUACUGGGUAUAUGCCCAAUGGAAUAUAAAUAAUUCUACUAUAAAGACAUGCAUGUGAAUGUUUAUUGCAGCACUAUUCACAAUAGCAAAGACAUGCAAUUAACUUGAAUUUCCAUCAAUGACAGAUUGAAUAGAGAAAGUGUGGUUCCAUAUAGACAAUGGAAUACUAUGCAACUGUAAAAAAAAAGAAUGAGAUAAUGUAUUUUGUGGGAAUAUGGAUGGAGCUGGAGCUCAUUAUCCUUAGCGAACUAACACAGGAACUGAAAGCCAAAUACCACAUGUUCUCACUUGUAAGUGGGAGCUAAAUGAUGAAAACUCAUGGACACACAGAGAGGAACAACAGACACUGGGACCUACUUGAAGGUGGAGGGUGGGAGAAAAAAGAGGAUCAGAAAAAAUAACUAUUGGGUACUAGACUCAGUGCCUGGGUGACAAAAUAAUUGGUACAACAAACCCCUGUGACACGAGUUUACCAAUAUAACAAACUUGCACAUGUACCCCUGAACCUAAAAGAAAAGUUUAGAAAAGGACGCAUAUCUAAUUCUAAAACAAAUACUAAUAAUUUUUCACAUUCCACUGAUAAUUAAAUGAGGUGCUUCCUCCCAUUUUUGGCCCUGGGUAUCUCUCUAACCAAUCUUUUGAGAUUAACAUGAGACAUGUCAGUGGACUCCUGUGUCCCCAAAAGCUUUCAAAGAAUUAAAAUACAGAUUCACUUCUGCUAACAUCCUUGUAUAUUUUUAUCUAUAAAGAGAGAUAAUUUACGUUAGUAUUCAGUCUAUUUUCUCCCUCUUAAAAAAGGAAAACCCUUUAGAUUUUCCAUCCCGGUCACCUCCCUAUAUAUUUCUUCUCCUUUAAAGCUGUGUUUUAAAGAGCUAUCUGCAUAUGAACAACAGUUGAACUCACUGUAGUCAUCCACCUACACCCUAUUCACAAAAACUAAUUUUGCUAAGGUUAUCAAUGUCCUUUAUUUUGAAAAUUAUGUGGAGUAAGUCCUAAUGUACUUGGCCUAUCGUCAUUAAAUGCUUGAGUCCUCUCUCCUUGAACCACUCUCUUGGCAUUAAUGACAUUUAACUCCUUCUACCUUUAUGCACUCUCUCACAGCCUCUUUACCUUCUUAAUAUAGUCUUUAAAUAUUGGAAUUCCUCAGGACUUCAUUCUGGUUGCUCUUUUCUUCUCUAUUGUUUUACAUCUUCAUCGAAACCUCACUCACUCUUAUGACAUUAACGGUUGUCUACAUGCUGAUUACUCUCCCAGUACGCCAAAUCCAGAAUCUUAUAUUUAACUACCUACUUAAUAAUGACACUUCAGUGUAUCCCAGGCAAGCCAAAAUGAAGACGAUCCAAACUGAAUAUUUGAUAUCCACUUGCUCAACUUGUCUCUCAAUCAUUAUUCUCCAUUUUAAUAAAUAUCUUCACUUCAUAAACAUGGUAGUCAUUAUUGACACCUCCCUGUAUUUUAUCUUUCAUAUUCAGUCAAAUACCAAGCUCUGUAGAUAAAUCCUCCAAAAUAUAUUACAAAUAGAUAAAAUCUUUUUCAUUUCUGUUACCACUAUGCAGCGCUGUUUUUUUAAAUGUGUAUUUUAUUGCUCUUUCUAUUUAUUUAUUUAUUUCUAACCUUUAUUUUAUGUUCAGGGGAUACAUAUGCAGGUUUGUUAUAUGGGUAAAUUGUGUGUUGUGGGGUUUGGUGUACAAAUUACUUCAUCACUCAGAUAAUGAGCAUAGUACCUGACAGGUAGUUUUUCAGUCUUCAACCUCCUAUCACCCUCCACCAUCAAGUAGACCCCAGUGUCUAUUAUUCCUUUCUUUGUGUCCAUGUGUACUCAAUAUUUAGCUAACACUUGCAAGUGAGAACAUGUAAUAUUUUGUUUUCUGUUUCUACAUUAAUUUGCUUAUGCUAAUAGUCUCCAGAUCCAUCCAUAUCGCUGUGAAAGAUAUGAUUUUGUUCUAUUGUUAUGGCUACAUAGUAUUCUAUGGUGUAUAUGUACCACAUUUUCUUUAUCCAGUCCACUGUUGAUGGAUAGGCAUUUACAUUGAUUCCGUGAGUUUGCUAUUGUGACUAGUACUGUGAUGAAUAUACACAUGCAUGUGACUUUAUGAUAGAAUUAUUUAUAUUUCUUUGCCAGUAUUUCACUCUCUUUAGGAAGCCCUUUCCGACCUCCCUUACUCAUUCUUUUUGUGUAACACUUCAGAACACAAUGUGCCUAUUCUUCAUAUUACUUGCUGCUGUCACAUUUUGCAGUUUCAGGAUAAUCAGGUAAAUAAAUAUCUGCAUCUUUCACUAGGUUGUAAGUUCCAUAAGAGCCUUGCUUUAGUCUAUUGUGUACAUUACCUGGUACACAAUGGGCAUUCAAUAAAUAAUUGUUAAAUGAAUUAUAUAAUGCCAUAGUAGUUUUUAGCAACAAGUGGGCAUUUACCAUGUUCCAGAAAAUUUGGCAAGUGUUAUACAUAAAUUGUCUCAUUUAAUCAUCUCAAUUAUCUUAUGAAGAGAGUACUAUUAUUAUAUUAUUUUCUAUAGAUAAAGAAAUUGGGCCCAAAUAAUCUAAAAAUAUUUCUCAAAUUUGCAUAACUAAUAAAAGGCAGAAAAACAAUUUAAAUAUAUUUCUGUUAGGCUCCAAAGUUUGUGUUUAUUAGAAACUCAAGCUCUUUCAGUUUGUCUUUGCUAGAAUAGUUUAUCUGGACAUUUUAUUGCUGUCACAAGCCUUAAUAUAAAAUGUUAUCUUAUAUUUUUAUUUUCAGGAGGUCUCUACUAUAUAUUACUUGUUAAAAUUUUUAGGAAGCUUUAGGUUUGUUUUUCAGUGAUUCACUUAAGCAGGCAAAAAAUCCUACGUAUAAAUGACAUUUUCUGUCAAAUGAAACCUCUAUUUUCCUGUUAGUGUUUGCCUUUCACAUGUAAUACAUAUAUUUUAGCAUAUACAUCACCUCAUGCAAGGAAUAUUAACUUUAUAAUGUAUAAUACUUGAUAUAAGGUUUUGAAAAACACUGUUCCAUAACAUUUAAUAAAUCCAGGUCUUAGACCAAAGUGCAAAAUACACUGACUGACUUACUCAGUGCCUAGGCAAACUUGAAGAAGUUUUGGUACUAUUUUCAAAGUUUAUGCCUUCUCUCAAUGUUGAUAGAUGCUUGUAUUUCCGAGCUUAGCUGCAGAAUAACCUGAAUUUCAUACUACGGUGUCAUCUUUAUGUUGUUUCAACAUGUUAAUGAUGACAGACAUCCUCAUUCCCUAUUGGCAGUUACCCAUUCAAGACGUCUUUUAAUUUUUAUAGAUGUGCGAAUUAGAUGGCAUUAUUAGGAGUGCGGGUUGCUUGUGUUUUUGUAACUAUGUGUUGCCUUUUCAUUAUAAUCACCAUAUUGUGCAAUUCUAGGGAUCCCAAUCUCUAUUUUAGUUUAUGUAAAUGAUUCCUAAGGAGUUUCAUAGUGUAUAGCCUGUGAAGCCAUAUAUUGUGAAGUAUCAUCUUCUCUUUCUUAUUCACCCACAAAUAGUGAGUGAAUUCCACAUAGUAAUCACAGAAACAUAAAACGAAGACUUUGCUUAUUAUGUCCUCUGUUACCAACAUCAUAAAUGUCUUAUAUUUCCACACCUGAAUUUACAUAUAGUAAUGUCUUAUAUACUUCAAUUCCAAACAUUCUUGUAUUAAUUAGGCCUCUUAGUGACAAACACCUGAAACCAACUCUAACAAGUUAAGUAAAAACAAAUUUAGUAAGCGAUACUGAGGGCUCACAGAAGUGAUAAAAGGGUAGAAGAUCAGGAGGAUCUAUGAGAGCGAGGAGUAGGACACACACACAAAAAACACAGCUACUGUCUUUUAGAAGGGCCCACCCAUUUAAUAGAUAUUGCUGGCUUGUCAGUUUUUCUGCCAUCACCACCACAGCUGCUAUUGUAAUAGAUAUGUCAAAGUAUGUAUCCUGACUUUAAUACUUUAUUCAAUAUUUAAAGUCCAGGGAAAGGGUUUUUGAUUGGCUGCAAUUAGAUCAUGUGUCCAACCUCCUGAUCCUCUCAGCCCUAUAGGCGGAGUUAUGAAAUGGAACAGUGGAAGAUGGGCACAGGGAUUUAUCACUGUGCCAAUACUACACAUAAUGAAGAAGUAGUAAAUUCCCAAAAGUAAACUGAAAUGUUAUUAGGAAGGAUGUGGUUUCUGGCAGCCAAAAAUCCCUCAAUUUGAGCAAUGUCUGCUAUAAGCCCUCUUUCAUGUCAAUUAUGGGUUCCACUUGCAUUACCUACUUCUCACCUGUGACACUGCACAUAAUCUUUUCUUAUAUAAACUGGCUUUGCAGUUUUAUGUCCCUGGUACUGUUGGAAUCAAGUACACUAUCUUGGUUACUGGAAAGUAGAUAUUAAUAGAAUAAAAUAUAAGAAAUGUAAGAUUAGCAUCCCACUUCAAUAUUGUUCAUCUUCCUCAUAGAUUAAAAAAAAGACACUAAUGAUUUCACUAUUUCCCAUGCAUGAACCUGAGAACAGAGGAAUGCCAAAUUGCCUAGAAUUCCCUGGCUGCUGCAUUCUUUAAACUGUAUCUACCUAGGGGUCACUUAUAAAAUGAUGUUGCAUUGAAAACAGAUGGAAUUAUCUCAUACUGUAUUGGAAGAACAUUGCAUGCCCUAGUGAUUUAUUUACUCCCUCAUCUCUGUCCUGAUUCCAUUCUUUUCUCAUCUGUACUUGUGUUUCACUACGGCCUUAGCUCUGACUUUAGUAACAUGAUUAAUAACCUAAUUUGGGCUGGGACUGUAUUUCUUCAGUCUGUCUUCUGUUUGCUUCUUAAAACCAUGAACUACAUUGCUCAAUUCCUUGUUUCAUCUAUUCCAGACACUUUGAGUUACAGAAGUUUUAUUUAUGUUCCUGAGAUGGGAUCCACUCUCUGCUGUGCUUCAGGCCAGUCCAGCAUCUUUUCCUCAUGACCAAAACAGUUUGUCAAGAAGUAUUUUUUUCAAUUGCUCACAGAAAAUUGAUUCUCUGUAGCUGGCAUGUUUCUGUUUGUUCUGAUCUUUUGCUUCCCUCUAGCGGCCAAUGUUUGCAUAUGUAUAUGAGGCUAGCAAACUGUGUGUGUGUGUGUGUGUGUGUGUGUGUGUGUGUGUGUGUGUGUGUGUGUGUAUAAAAUUGAUGGAAUUUCUAUGGUUUCCGUCUCAUCACUCCAUUGCUAGCCAUAUAUAUAUGCACACACAUAUAUGUGUAUAUAUGUUUAUAUAUGAUCUAUAUGUGUAUAUAUUUGAUAUAUAUCAUAUAUAUGAUUUAUGUGUCUCAUAUAUCAUAUAUAUGGAUGUAUACAUUGUGAAACCCAAAAAUCUGAGACAGGUCUCAUUUAAAUUAGAAAGUUUAUUUUGCCAAGGUUGAGGACGCGCGCCCGUGACACAGCCUCAGGUGGUCCUAACAACAUGUGCCUUCCCAAGGUGGUAGGAGCACGGUUUGGUUUUAUACAUUCUAGGGAGACAUGAGACAUCAAUCAACAUAUGCAAGAUGAACAUUGGUUCGGUCUGGAAAGACGGGAUAACACGAAGCAAAGGUGAGAAGACUCAAAGGGGGAGGGGGCUUCCAGGUCAUAGGUAGAUAAGAGACAGAUGGUUGCAUUACUUUGGGUUUCUGAUUAGCCUCUCCAAAGGAGGCAAUCAGAUGUGCAUUUAUCUCAGUGAGCGGAGGGGCGACUUUGAACAGAAUAGGAGUCAGGUUGGCCAUAAGCAGUUUCCAGCUUGACUUUUCCCUUUAGCUUAGUGAUCUGGGGCCCCCAAGAUUUAUUUUCCUUUCACAAUAUGUGAGUGUAUGUAUUAUAUAUAUAUGUAUUAUAUAUGUAUAUAUCAUAUAUGUAUAUACAUCAUAUAAGUGUGUGUGUGUAUAUAUAUGAGGCUAGCAAUGGAGUAAUGAGAUAAAAACAUAGAAAUUCCAUCAAUUCAAUAUCAGAUACAUUUUUAAAAUUUAUUGACAAAUUUAUAAAGAAGCUAAAGAACUUAAAAGAUAUAGAUAGGUUUAAAGGAUACCAACUAGGUUUAUAAAAUUGUUUUGAAGUAAAAACAAUAAGACUUGCCUUACCCCUCUACUUUUAAUACUGUUUUGUGUAUUUUACCCUUCUAGGCUGUAUAUGUCAGAGGAUAUCAUAUCUGAUCAAAAGAAAAAAAAGAUCAAGACAAGAUGAAAAGAACCAAAAUAGGAAGACAUCCUAAGGCAUACAGCAGCUGCAGUCUGCCUGCCACUGAAUUUUAUCCAGGGUCUGAGCCUGCUGAAGUCAGUUGGUGAAGCAAGAGAAGACAGGCAGAAUAAGAUGGCAGAGAAAGACUCUCCAGCGACCAUCCCUCAAUAGAAACAUCAAUUUGAACAACUAUCCACACAUGAAACAAAUCUUCGUAAGACUCAGGAAACCAGGUGCAGGACAAAGGACAGACAGAACUCAGUCAACCCUCUGCUCACCUGAGAAAAAGUGCAUAUCUAAUUGCUUCUUUGGCCCUAUUGUUUAUGCAAGAAUGCUGAUUCAUUUGUCUAUUUUGGCUUUUGUUGCCAUUGCUUUUGGUGUUUUAGUCAUGAAGUUGUUGCCCAUGCCUAUGUCCUGAAUGAUAUUGCCUAGGUUUUCUUCUAGGGUUUUUAUGGUUUUAGGUCUUACAUUUAAGUCUUUAAUCCAUCUAGAGUUAAUUUUUGUAUACGGUGUAAGGAAGGGAUCCAGUUUCAGCUUUCUGUAUAGGGCUAGCCAGAUUUCCCAACACCAUUUAUUAAAUAGGGAAUCCAUUGGGAUCUAAUUAAACUAAACAGCUUCUGCACAGCAGAGGAAACUAUCACCAGAAUGAACAGGCAACCUACAGAAUGGGAGAAAAUUGUUGCAAUAUAUCCAUCUGACAAAGAGCUAAUAUCCAGAAUCUACAAAGAACUUAAACAAACUUACAAGAAAAAAACAACCCCAUCAAAAAGUGGGCAAAGGAUAUGAACAGACACUUCUCAAAAUAAAACAUUUAUGCAGCCAACAAACAUAUGAAAAAAAGCUCAUCAUCACUGGUCAUUAGAGAAAUGCAAAUCAAAACCACAAUGAGAUACCAUCUUACACCAGUUAGAAUGGUGAUCAUUAAAAAGUCAGGAAACAACAGAUGCUGGUGAGGAUGUGGAGGGAUAAGAACGCUUUUACACUGUUACUGGGAGUGUAAAUUAGUUCAACCAUUGUGGAAGACAGUGUGGCAAUUUCUCAAGGAUCUAGAACUAGAAAUACCAUUUGACCCAGCAAUCCUAUUUCUGGGUAUAUACCCAAAGGAUUAUAAAUCAUUCUACUAUAAAGACACAUGCACACGUAUGUUUAUUGUGGCACUGUUCACAGUAGCAAAGACUUGGAACCAACUCAAAUUCUCAUCAAUGAUAGACUGGAUAAAGAAAAUGUGGCACAGAUAUGCCAUGGAAUACUAUGCAGCCAUAAAAAGGAUGAGUUCAUGUCCUGUGCAGGGACAUGGGUGAAGCUGGAAACCAUCAUCCUCAGCAAAGUAACACAAGAACAGAAAACCAAACACUGCAUGUUCUCACUCAUAAGUGGGAGUUGAACAAUGAGAACACAUGGACACAGGGAGGGGAACAUCCCACCAGAGCCUAGUGGAGGGUGGGGGCUAGGGGAGGGAUAGUAUUGGGAAAAAUACCUAAUGUAGAUGAUGGUUUGAUGGUUGCAGCAAAUCACCAUGGCAUGUGUAUACCUAGGUAACAAAUCUGCACAUUCGGCACAUGUACCCCAGCACUUAAAGUAUAAUAAAAAAAAGCCAAAAAGAAAUGCAGAUUCACUAGGCCUGUCCAAAGCAUAAGUCACUUUCCUCUAUGCCACCUCAUAUGUAAAUUUUGUAUUUAAUGAAAGGCUAAUCACAGUAUUCAGUGAAAAGCUAAUGAGAGACUCAAAAGAAU